rnacentral:rRNA from 1 species
AACGAACGCUGGCGGCAGGCCUAACACAUGCAAGUCGAACGCUGUAGCAAUACAGAGUGGCAGACGGGUGAGUAACACGUGGGAACGUGCCCUUCGGUUCGGAAUAACUCAGGGAAACUUGAGCUAAUACCGGAUAAGUGCGAGAGCAGAAAGAUUUAUCGCCGAAGGAUCGGCCCGCGUCCGAUUAGCUAGUUGGUGAGGUAAUGGCUCACCAAGGCGACGAUCGGUAGCUGGUCUGAGAGGAUGAUCAGCCACACUGGGACUGAGACACGGCCCAGACUCCUACGGGAGGCAGCAGUGGGGAAUAUUGGACAAUGGGCGCAAGCUUGAUCCAGCCAUGCCGCGUGAGUGAUGAAGGCCCUAGGGUUGUAAAGCUCUUUCGCCAGGGACGAUAUUAACGGUACCUGGAUAAGAAGCCCCGGCUAACUUCGUGCCAGCCGCCGCUGUAA